CAAAUAAAAUAAAAUUAAAAAUAGGAAACUUUGUUCAACUUCUCCAAAUCGGCCAUUUUCGAGUUACAAAGUAAACCGCUUCAACUUUGACUUCGACGAUCUAGGGUUCUUUUCAUCCUUAGAUUACAUUGGAAAAACAAUUUUGAAUCUUGGAGUCAUCGAAUCCAAAACCCACUUUCUUAUUUUCGCUGAUUUUAACGUAAGUUCUUCUCGUUUUUGCUACAUAAAUGUCGUGUAGAUGCAUUUAAUUUCUGAAUUGUAAAUAGCAUUUGUGGUUAUGGAUAGCAAUUAUUCGUCUGUUUCCAAGGAAUCUUUUGUUGAAUUACAAGUUAAAGAUGAUAACUUUAGGGAUAAUGAAUAUUUGAAACCAAAUUCUGGUGAUGAUUUUGAAGCCGAUGAUAUAGAUUUGGAUGAUUUACCUCUUAUUUUUGGUGAAAAUAAAUCUGGGUCUGGAGAACAUGGGGCAGUCUUUAAUCUUACGACUACUAUUAUUGGUGCGGGGAUUAUGGCUUUGCCUGCUACAAUGAAAGUAUUGGGGUUGGUUGUUGGGGUUAUUUUGAUAUUCUUGAUGGGUGUUUUGUCUGAGAUUAGUGUUGAAUUGCUUGUUCGGUUUUCGGUUCAAUGCAAGGCUUUGUCGUAUGGGGAAGUUGUUGAGGCUGCAUUGGGUAAAACAGCGAAGAUCCUGUCUGAGAUUUGUAUUAUUGUGAAUAAUGCUGGUGUUUUGGUUGUAUACUUGAUUAUAAUUGGGGAUGUUUUGUCGGGUUCGAUUCGACAUACUGGGGUUUUUGAUCAAUGGUUAGGUCAUGGAGUGUGGGAUCAUAGGAAGUUGGUGGUUUUGAUCAUAUUGGUGAUUUUUCUUGCACCCCUUUGUGCAAUGGACAAGAUCGAUUCUUUAAGUUUGUCUUCAGCUGCUUCUGUAGCUCUUGCUAUUGUGUUUGUUGUAGUUGCUUUCACGAUAGCAUUUAUUAAGCUUGUCGAGGGGAAAAUUGAAGCUCCAAGGAUGACACCAGAUUUCGGGUCUAAGCAGGCAAUCCUAGACCUGCUUGUGGUGAUUCCCAUAAUGUCCAAUGCGUAUGUUUGCCAUUUCAAUGUUCAGCCCAUUUAUAAUGAGCUUGAAGGCCGAUCACCUCAGAAGAUGAACCGUGUGAGCCGAAUUACCUCUGCUAUUUGUGUGUUGGUGUAUGCUUCUACGGCAGUAGCUGGCUAUUUACUUUUUGGAAAGGAUACUGAAUCUGAUAUACUCACAAAUUUUGACAAGGACCUUGGAAUUCGUUUCAGCACAGCAUUGAAUUACAUUGUUCGUGUUGGCUAUGUUUUCCAUCUGGUUCUUGUUUUCCCUGUUAUCCAUUUCUCCCUGAGGCAGACUGUGGAUGCUUUGUUGUUUGAAGGAUCUGCACCACUCACAGAAAGUAGGAAGAGGUGUCUGGCUUUGACUGCCGUUCUCCUGGCACUCUUAUAUUUUGGGUCGACUAUGAUUCCUAACAUUUGGACUGCUUUCAAAUUUACAGGGGCCACAACUGCAGUUUCUUUAGGCUAUACAUUUCCAUCUCUUAUUGCUCUAAGGCUGGGCAAACAAGGAAGCGGUUUGAGUAUGAGAGAGAAGAUUUUGUCUUGGUUCAUGUUGAUAUUGGCCAUUGUAGUUAGCAUUGUUGGAGUGGGUGGCAAUAUUUAUAGUAUGAGUAGUGAGAGUGAUUGAGGUUCGUUCUUUUUCAUACAGUGGAAAGGCCUGUUGCAUUACCGAUCCAAGUGAGGAUAAGCUACUCCAAGUCAAACUGUCAGGUUCUAAAUGGAAAGUCUUGUGAUAUAGUUCCACUCAAAAGUCAUUCAAGCUUUACCAGUCCAUGUAGAAUAGCAAGAGAUUGUCAUAGCUGUUGCAGAUUGAUAGAAUGGUGAUCCCGGAUUCAUAGAAAAAUGUUAGUUAUUGAGAGUUAUGUGGAUUGCGGCAGCUGGGAAUUAGAAUGCUGCAAGCUUUGAAUUUUUUACCGUCAGAGGAUAGAUUGGAUUACAACAACAUAUCCAAGGUUAUUUCACAAGUGAGGUCUGGGAAAAGGAGAAUAGAUUGGAUUAAGUGGGAAAAAUGGGUAUUUUCCUGAAUGAUAAACCAUAGCUAUGUCUGUUAAUCACAUUCUUUGCGAUCUAAUGUAAUAUCUUGUAUAAUUGGAGAUAUGGUUGAUCAGAGAGAUUGAAAU